UGGUCAAGUUAUUAAGGGUGCAGGGCGGAUGCCUUGGCACUAGGAGCCGAUGAAGGACGUGAUAAGCUGCGAUAAGCUUCGGGGAGUUGCACGUAAACUUUGAUCCGAAGAUUUCCGAAUGAGGAAACUCACUUAGAGUAAUGUCUAAGUAUCAUUAAGUGAAUACAUAGCUUAAUGAGGGGAACUCAGGGAACUGAAACAUCUAAGUACCUGAAGGAAGAGAAAGAAAUUCGAUUCCGUAAGUAGCGGCGAGCGAACGCGGAUUAGCCCAAACCAAUAAAGUUUUCUUUAUUGGGGUUGCGGACAUAUCAUAACGAAGAGGUAUCGUAAUUGAAGAGGUUUGGAAAGACUCACCACAGAAGGUAAUAGUCCUGUAUGUUAAACGAGAAGACUUCAGAUAUGAUCCAGAGUACCACGGGACACGUGAAACCCUGACAUUUCUUGUGUGACCGCGUACUUUUUGUAGAACGGGCCAACGAGUUACGUUAAGUAGCAAGGUUAAGCACUUAAGGUGCGGAGCCGUAGCGAAAGCGAGUUUUAACUGAGCGUUCAGUUACUUGACGUAGACCCGAAACCGGGCGACCUACCCAUGAGCAGGAUGAA
rnacentral:rRNA from 1 species